rnacentral:rRNA from 1 species
UAGGGAAUCUUCCACAAUGGACGCAAGUCUGAUGGAGCAACGCCGCGUGAGUGAAGAAGGCUUUCGGGUCGUAAAACUCUGUUAUUGAAGAAGAACGUGCGUGACAGUAACUGGUCAUGCAGUGACGGUAUUCAAUCAGAAAGUCACGGCUAACUACGUGCCAGCAGCCGCGGUAAUACGUAGGUGGCAAAGCGUUGUCC